rnacentral:rRNA from 1 species
GCAAGCGUUGCUCGGAAUCACUGGGCGUAAAGGGCGCGUAGGCGGGAUGGCAAGUCAGUCGUGAAAUCUCUCGGCUCAACCGAGAAACGUCGGCUGAUACUGCCGUUCUUGAGGGAUGCAGAGGAGACUGGAAUUCCCGGUGUAGCGGUGAAAUGUGUAGAGAUCGGGAGGAACACCGGUGGCGAAGGCGGGUCUCUGGGCAUCUCCUGACGCUGAGGCGCGAAAGCGUGGGGAGCAAACGGG